UACGGAGGGUGCAAGCGUUAAUCGGAAUUACUGGGCGUAAAGCGUGCGUAGGCGGUUUGUUAAGUCUGUUGUGAAAGCCCCGGGCUCAACCUGGGAAUGGCAAUGGAUACUGGCGAGCUAGAGUGUGUCAGAGGAUGGUGGAAUUCCCGGUGUAGCGGUGAAAUGCGUAGAGAUCGGGAGGAACAUCAGUGGCGAAGGCGGCCAUCUGGGACAACACUGACGCUGAGGCACGAAAGCGUGGGGAGCAAACAGG
rnacentral:rRNA from 1 species